CAGUCGCCGCGGUAAUACAGAGGGUGCGAGCGUUAAUCGGAUUUACUGGGCGUAAAGCGUGCGUAGGCGGCUUCUUAAGUCGGAUGUAAAAUCCCUGAGCUUAACUUAGGAAUUGCAUUCGAUACUGGGAAGCUAGAGUAUGGGAGAGGAUGGUAGAAUUCCAGGUGUAGCGGUGAAAUGCGUAGAGAUCUGGAGGAAUACCGAUGGCGAAGGCAGCCAUCUGGCCUAAUACUGACGCUGAGGUACGAAAGCAUGGGGAGCAAACAGGAUUAGAUACCCCCGUAGUCCCUGUCUCUUAUAC
rnacentral:rRNA from 1 species